CCACGUUUCUUUAGUUUUGGGUUCUUGUAACCGUAGGGGUGUAAAGGUGGAUGGAGAAUCCCUAGUAUGGUAACCCCACACAGUUACGUAUGGCCCGCUUCAGGCCUCAAAACGUAUCAAGAAUAAAACUUCAAGUCCAGAAAAAUUUAAUAGAAUUUAUAUAGAUGCUGACAUGUCAAAAUGUGAUUGGACUUUUUUGUUUUUUGGGGCUAUUUUCCAAUAAUGCCAUGCGAUGUUUUGUUUGCAAGGAUUUUCUCUCAAAAGAUUCUAUACUUGUAGCAUGAUUUAACAUAUCAAUUUGAAUAAUGUAACGUAACCCAACUAGGGUUAUAACUUCGGUCUAGAUGCCGUUAGAGGAUAGAUUGAAUGAAAUGUGAAAUUAAAU
rnacentral:lncRNA from 1 species